UACGAACGGUGCGAACGUUGUUCGGAAUCACUGGGCUUAAAGGGCGCGUAGGCGGGCGGUCAAGUCAGAGGUGAAAUCCCACGGCUCAACCGUGGAAGUGCCCCUGAUACUGAUCGCCUCGAGGGAGGUAGGGGCGUGCGGAACUUCCGGUGGAGCGGUGAAAUGCGUAGAUAUCGGAAGGAACACCGAUGGCGAAAGCAGCGCGCUGGACCUUUACUGACGCUGAGGCGCGAAAGCCAGGGGAGCAAACGGG
rnacentral:rRNA from 1 species